CUGAUGCAGCGACGCCGCGUGGAGGAAGAAGGUUUUCGGAUUGUAAACUCCUGUCGUUAGGGACGAUAAUGACGGUACCUAACAAGAAAGCACCGGCUAACUACGUGCCAGCAGCCGCGGUAAAACGUAGGGUGCAAGCGUUGUCCGGAAUUACUGGGUGUAAAGGGAGCGCAGGCGGGAAGACAAGUUGGAAGUGAAAUCCAUGGGCUCAACCCAUGAACUGCUUUCAAAACUGUUUUUCUUGAGUAGUGCAGAGGUAGGCGGAAUUCCCGGUGUAGCGGUGGAAUGCGUAGAUAUCGGGAGGAACACCAGUGGCGAAGGCGGCCUACUGGGCACCAACUGACGCUGAGGCUCGAAAGUGUGGGUAGCAAACAGGAUUAGAUACCCUGGUAGUCCACACCGUAAACGAUGAUUACUAGGUGUUGGAGGAUUGACCCCUUCAGUGCCGCAGUUAACACAAUAAGUAAUCCACCUGGGGAGUACGACCGCAAGGUUGAAACUCAAAGGAAUUGACGGGGGCCCGCACAAGCAGUGGAGUAUGUGGUUUAAUUCGACGCAACGCGAAGAACCUUACCAAGUCUUGACAUCCUGCGACGGACAUAGAAAUAUGUCUUUCCUUCGGGACGCAGAGACAGGUGGUGCAUGGUUGUCGUCAGCUCGUGUCGUGAGAUGUUGGGUUAAGUCCCGCAACGAGCGCAACCCUUAUGGUCAGUUACUACGCAAGAGGACUCUGGCCAGACUGCCGUUGACAAAACGGAGGAAGGUGGGGAUGACGUCAAAUCAUCAUGCCCUUUAUGACUUGGGCUACACACGUACUACAAUGGCGUUAAACAAAGAGAAGCAAGACCGCGAGGUGGAGCAAAACUCAGAAACAACGUCCCAGUUCGGACUGCAGGCUGCAACUCGCCUGCACGAAGUCGGAAUUGCUAGUAAUCGUGGAUCAGCAUGCCACGGUGAAUACGUUCCCGGGCCUUGUACACACCGCCCGUCACACCAUGAGAGCCGGGGGGACCCGAAGUCGGUAGUCUAACCGCAAGGAGGACGCCGCCGAAGGUAAAACUGGUGAUUGGGGUGAAGUCGUAACAAGGUAGCCGUAGGAGAACCUGCGGCUG
rnacentral:rRNA from 1 species